AUUGAACGCUGGCGGCAGGCCUAACACAUGCAAGUCGAGCGGGGUUUUCGGACCUAGCGGCGGACGGGUGAGUAAUGCGUAGGAAGCUACCCAAUAGAGGGGGAUACCAGUUGGAAACGACUGUUAAUACCGCAUAAUGUCUACGGACCAAAGUGUGGGACCUUCGGGCCACAUGCUAUCGGAUGCGCCUACGUGGGAUUAGCUAGUUGGUGAGGUAAUGGCUCACCAAGGCGACGAUCCCUAGCUGGUUUGAGAGGAUGAUCAGCCACACUGGAACUGAGACACGGUCCAGACUCCUACGGGAGGCAGCAGUGGGGAAUAUUGGACCAUGAGCGCAAGCCGGGACAAGGCAUGCCGCGUGUGUGAAGAAGGCCUUCGGGUUGUAAAGCACUGUCAGUUGGGAGGAAGGGUUGUGUGUUAAUAGUACACAGCCUUGACGUUACCAACGGAAGAAGCACCGGCUAACUCUGUGCCAGCCGCCGCCGUAAGAC
rnacentral:rRNA from 1 species